AAUAAACGCUGGCGGCGUGCCUAACACAUGCAAGUCGAGCGAGAAAGCUCCUUCGGGAGUUAGUAAAGCGGCGAACGGGUGAGCAACACGUGAGAAUCUACCCUUUAGUGAAGAAUACCCUCGAGAAAUCGAGGCUAAUACUGCAUACGUCCCUUCGGGGAGAAAGAUGGCCUCUUUGCUAUCGCUAAAGGAUGAGCUUGCGUACUAUUAGCUAGUUGGCGGGGUAAAGGCCCACCAAGGCAAUGAUGGUUAACCGGCCUGAGAGGGUGUACGGUCACACUGGAACUUAGACACGGUCCAGACUCCUACGGGAGGCAGCAGUGAGGAAUCUUGCGCAAUGGGCGAAAGCCUGACGCAGCGACGCCGCGUGGAGGAUGACGGUUUUCGGAUUGUAAACUCCUGUUAAGCGGGAAGAAAGCCUUGUUUCUAAUACAAGCAAGGUAUGACGGUACCGCUAGAGAAAGCACCGGCUAACUUCGUGCCAGCAG
rnacentral:rRNA from 1 species